CAGCAGCCGCGGGAAUACGGAGGGGGCUAGCGUUGUUCGGAAUUACUGGGCGUAAAGCGUGCGUAGGUGGAGGUUUAAGUCCGUUGUGAAAGCCCUGGGCUCAACCUGGGAAUUGCAGUGGAUGCUGGGUCAUUAGAGUGUGGUAGAGGAUAGUGGAAUUUCCGGUGUAGCAGUGAAAUGCGUAGAGAUCGGAAGGAACAUCUGUGGCGAAGGCGACUAUCUGGGAUAACACCGACGCUCAUGCACGAAAGCGUGGGGAGUAAACAGGAUUAGAUACCCCUGUAGUCCCUGUCUCUUAUAC
rnacentral:rRNA from 1 species